AUUGAACGCUGGCGGCGUGCCUAACACAUGCAAGUCGAGCGGUAACAGGUGUAGCAAUACAUGCUGACGAGCGGCGGACGGGUGAGUAACGCUUGGGAAUCUGCCUAUUAGUGGGGGACGAACCCGGGAAACGUCGGGCGUAAUACCGCAUACGCUCUACGGAGGAAAGACCGGGGACCGCAAGGCCUGGCGUUAAUAGAUGAGCCCAAGUCGGAUUAGCUAGUUGGUAGGGUAAUGGCCACCAAGGCGACGAUCCGUAACUGGUCUGAGAGGACGACCAGUCACACCGGAACUGAGACACGGUCCGGACUCCUACGGGA
rnacentral:rRNA from 1 species